CUAAAGACUCUGGUCUUUAGGCAACAAAGAGUUCAAGAAAAUAUACUAACAACACAACUGCAGAUCAACAUCUUGGGUCAGACUAGAACAUGUCAGGAUGGGGUGACUAUCAAGACCACGGCAGUGGAGAUAAUUAUGGGAGCACAUUUGUUUUUAGGAAAGAAUCAGAACUGGAUCUUGGAGGAAGAGUCACAUAUGGUGAGGAAAAUGAUGAAGAUGAGCAUCAAGAAGAUACAAAGGUUCGAAAGAUAACCAAGGUCAAAAACUGGAUUCCUUCAGAACCACCAUCUAGAACUGGCUGGCUUCUUUACAAAAGGGGCCUCGAGUGAGGAGUGAAAUACUUACAACUACAUGAAUGCAAAGCAAAAACAAAUGAAGAAUGAAAAGAGAGGAGAAACAGAAAACAAUAAGCCUGGAGGGAGAAGAUUAUAUUGUGUGGGAGUACCAAUACCAGCAGGGAAAAAAUAGAAAAGUCAAUAGUCAACACAAGAAGUUUGGUUGUGCUGUGUGUCACUGAGAGCCUGAUGGACCGAAUGUGAGCUAAUGAUUACAAAAAGAAUUUCAGUUUGCCUCAAGUAGCCAUCUACACCUCUUGUUGUUUUUGAUUAUGAAGUGGUACAUUAUCGCAUUGAUAUUUCCUUUUGCUUUCUAUUGGUUCACAUGGAUUUGUAUUACCAGGUUAUUAUGUGAGGUUGUUAGGUGAUUCUGAGGCCUGCUUUAAAGAAGUUUAAGGUUAAAAAAAAAAAAAAAAGAAACCUUUUGAAUUAGUAUUUUCAUUUUCUUUGGCUAAAUACCCAGAAGUGGAAUUACUAAAUUGUAUGGUACUUCUAUUUCAGUUUUAUUGCAGCAUUAUUUACAAUGGAAUGAUGAAGGGAUGAACAAGAUGUGGCAUAUAUAUACAAGGGAAUAUUAAUGGAAUAUUACUCAGCUACACAAAAAAAGACUGAGAUCAUGCCAUUCACAACAACAUGGAUGGACCUGGAGUGUUUUAUGCUAGAUGAAAUAAGUCAGACAGAAAGACAAGUACCAGAGGUUUCACUUAUAUGUGGAAUCAAAACAACAAAACAAAUGAAUGAACUAAUAAACAAAGACAUAGACUCAUAACUAUAGAGAACAAACUGGUGGUUUCCAGGGGGUAGAGGAGCUGAGGAGCAGAUGAAAGAGGUGAUAGGCCUGAAGAGGUAGAAAUUUACAGUUAUAAAAUAAAUAUGUCAUGGUGAUGAAAAGUACAGCAUUGGAAAUAUAGUCAAUAAUACUAUAAUAACUUUGUAUGGUGACACAGAUAGUAAUUAAACUUAUGGUGAGCAUUUUGUUAUGUAUAUAAUUGUUGAAUCACUAUAUUAUACACCUGGAACUAAUAUAAUAUUCUGAGUCAACUAUGCUUCAAUUAAAAAUUUUAGAAAGGAACAAAGAGUAGAAACUUAUAGAUAAAUAUAUAAGAAUUAAUGUGGAUUAAUAUUUUGAAAAAUAAUAUUGGGAAUGCUAAAGAUAAGCUUGAUGGUUAAAUAGAUGGUGUUUUUAGUGUUUGUUUUUUAAAGAAUUGCUAUCGAUUUUCAGAUUAUAAGUUAAAAUAUUUUUACAUUUUCCAUUUUUUACUGGAAAACACACAUAACAUACAAUUUAUCUUAAUCAUUUUUAAGUGUCUAGUUCAGUAUUAAUACAUUCAUAUUGUUGUGCAACCAUCUCCACUAUCCAACUCCAGAAUGUUUUUUAUCUUGCAAAACUGAAACCCUAUACUUAUUAAGCAAUAACUCCUCAUUCCCUCCUUCCCCCAGCUGGUGGCACCCACCAUUCUACAUUUUGUCUGUGUGAUUGUGACUGCUCUAAGUCCCUCAUAUCAGUGGAAUCAUAUGGUAUUUGUCUUUUCUUGACUGACCUAGUUCACUUAGCAUAAUGUCCUCAAGCUUCAUCCAUGUUGUGGCACAGAGCAGGAUUUCCUUCUUUUAUUAAGGUUGAAUAGUAUGCCAUUUUAUGUAUAUACCACAUUUUGUUUAUCCAUUUGUCCAUCCAGUGAUGGACACGAAUUGUCUCCACAUUUUAGCUAUUGUGAAUAAUGCAGCUUGAACAUGAAAACAGAUAUAUCUCUUCCAGAUACUGCUUUCAGUUUUCUUUUGGUUAUAUACCUGGAAUAGGAAUUGCUGGAUCAUGUGGUCAUUCUAUUUUAAAAUAUUUGAGGAGCCACCACACUGGUUUCCACAAUGGCUAUACCAUUUUGCAUUCAUAUUAACAAUGCACAAGGAUUCCUUUCUUCAUAUCCUUGCCAAAAUUUUUUUUCUGUUUUUUUUUUUUUCUUAAUAGUCAUUCUAAUGGGUCUGAGGUGGUCUCACAUUAUAGUUUUGAUUUGCAUUUCCCCAGUGAUUAGUGAUGUCUAGCAUCUUUCCAGGUGCUUAUUGGUCACUUAUAUAUUUUCUUUAGAGAAAUGUCUAUUCAAAUUCUUUGACCAUUUUUGAAUCAGGUUGUUUGAUUUUAAAAUUUUCAUGGAGUCCAAUUUGUUUACCUUUUCUUUUGUUGUCUGUGCCUUUGGCAUCAUAUACAAGAAAUGUAAUACUGUGAAGCUUUUGUUUUCUAUUGUCUUUUAAGAGUUUUUUUAUAUUUUCGGGUCUUACAUUUAGGUCAUGGAUCCAUUUUAGGUUGAUUUUUGUAUACAGUGUUAGGUAAGAGUCCAACUUCAUUCAUUUGCAUCUCUGGAUAUCCAGUUUUCCUAUAACUAUUUGCUGAAAAUACUAUCUUUUCCCUGUUGAAUGGUCUUGACAUCCUUUAUCAAAACUCAUUUGACUGCAUAUUCAAGGGUAUAUUUUUGGAGUCUUUUCUAUAUCCUUGGCAUAUAUGUCUCUUUUUAUGCCAGUACCACACUGUUUUGAUUAGUGUAGUUUUGUAGGAAGUUGAAAUCAGGAAGUGUGAGAAUUCCAAUUUUGUUCUUCUUUCAGGAUUAUUUUGGCUAUUCGGGGUCCCUUACAAUUCCAUGUGAAGCUUAGGAUGAUUUGUCCUAUUAUUGUAAGAAAUGUCUUUGGGAUUUUGAUAGGGAUUGCAUUGAAUCUUAAGAUUGCUUUGGCUAGUAUUGACAUCUUAACACUGUUAGGUCCUCCAACCCAUAAAUAAAUGCUUUUCAUUUGUUUAUGUCUUGUUUAAUUUCUUUCAAAAAUGUUUUGUAAUUUUCAUUGAACAAGUCUUUCACCUCC
rnacentral:lncRNA from 1 species